rnacentral:lncRNA from 13 species
CCUAUGGCACAACUCGCUUGUAUUAGGCAGACUUUGUAUAUGAUACUUAUAAGAUCAAAUCUCUUACUAUCCACCAAAUUAUUCUUCAGAUAGCCAGAAGUUCAGUAGGAUAUCCAUAUUUUCCACAUGUGAAAAUUUGUAGCCACACAAUAAAAAAAUAACUCAAGGGAAGAUGUGAAAAUUGGACCUGAAGCUGCAAUAUCAUGUAUCUUCUUUAUUGAAGGAAGGAAGUGCACGGCUUCAUUGACAAUGUCACAUCACUGUAGCAGAAUAACGGCCGACUUUAUGAAACAAAACCAACAUAACAUCUGUGAUCAGCAUCUGGACAUUUAUAAAUACGUCAUUGAAGUUAAUUGGCGGUCGCAAUGCUUACACUGUAUGCAGCAAAUAUCCUUGCAAGUCUGUCUGCAAUCUGAUCACUCAAGAAAGGAUUCAUCACACAGUCUCCAGAGGAGAAGGGAAGAAAAUUAACAGGCUUAUUUCUGGGGGUAGAGGAGAGAAAUAAAAAUAAAACCUAAUUGAUGAGGGUCCCA